GGCUUCAGUGAAGGACUGCCUUGGGUCAAGAGUUCAUCAAGCAAUGGCAGGUUCUGCAGCUGUACUCUGACCCCUACUAGACGAUUCUACCAUGUGCGGCUUCAGUGAAGGACUGCCUUGGGUCAAGAGUUCAUAAAGCAAUGGCAGGUUCUUAAGCUGUAUGGAGAUGUAGAUAUUCUAUAGCUUGCCUGCUGAACAAUAGGAAACCAGCUGUUGCUCAGAUCUUAAGAAAAGCCCUUAGAACAUGAAGCCAAUGAAGCAGAUGAGGACUCAGCCCAGAGACACCAAAUGGAAAAGCCCAUUGCAGUAAUCAACUACUGGAGAUGAAUGCAUGAUCAAGGGCGUCAGUUUCUUUUUAUAAGUGCCGGGGACAACAACGAUAAACUUAAGUGUGAUUAGAAAAGUGCUGGGUACAAUUAUAUUUUCAUCCGUUUUAUGUUUUAUUAUAAUAUGCACUGCAUUACAGUGUAUUGAAUAUUGAAAGGUGUUUUGAAAAAUUGUAGCAUUAGGCCUAUUUUCAAUCAAUGAAAGUUGAAAGCGACACAUGGUUUGUCAUGUUUUCCAAACGCCGUUGGAAACCACCGUUAAGCUAUUGGCUUGAGAUAGUAUUUGAAAUCUGUAGCACAAAUAUAGGCUACCUUUUGGCUAUUAAACAGCCCUCCUGACAGCAAAGUACCAGACAAACAUUGUCUGACCAUAGAGGGGUUAUGAAACUAAACGAAAGGUAGGCCUACUGACUGAGAAAGCAUCAACCAUUUGACGAGCGGUAUUUGUGACUGAUAGGUCUGUCUUGCAUCGCUAUGCAGCAAAAAAACAGGAAGGGUUUGACCAGGCAGAGACAAUCUCUUUUCGGCAGGCAAUAUCUUCUGAUAUCCUUAGAUUGAUUGUGAAACAAGCUAAUCAACUAACCCCUAUAUGUCUGUGUUGUUAGGCGUCUUUCUUUGCCCUCGUUGGCGGCUACACGGCCGAGAUAAUUACAAGAAGGAUGCUGGGCCAAGCUAUGACUAACAGCCAUUUCAAGUCUUGCACCAAAUCACCAAGGUACUCAUGACUGUCAGCUAAGGGGGGUGACGAUAUUUUAACACUAUUUUAAGUAAUCUUCAGUGAUGACAUGUAUUACAGUAAAAAUAGAGAAUACGAAACAAUUCAGGAGAUGAGUGGAGCAAUUUCUAAAAUGUCUCGGGAGGUCAGGGCUACAGCAGGUAGUAAAAAGAUUGUCAGAGGUUCCAGUGUCAGUCAAACCUUUUCCCACUGGCUGUUACCCUGCAUAAAAGACAUCUAGUUUAGUUUAGUUACAUAUAUUGUAGAUAAGCUAAGUUUAAAAUAAGUAGUAGGAUUAGUUUAAUUAGUAGCUUCAAGAUUAGAUUUGAUUUGCCUUGAAGACCUGAAAGGAGUAACGUGGCGAUAACUGAGGCUAGCAAACUACUAGCAAACGGUAACGUUAGCAGUUAAAGUCGACCGCACGGUGGUGCAUUGCUUCCAAAUCUCACAACAGCAGAACAAUUAAGAAAGGCUUCAAUGCAUUAAUCCACUAUUUCCACACACCUUGUGAUGUGGCCAAGGUGGCAAGACAGCGCAUACUGACUAAGCAGACACAAUCCUAUGUGGGGGGUCGGGGGCUUUGCAACGCCUGAAAAAAAAAAACAACGGACACUGACUGUGCAACAUCUAAUAUAGAUACAGAACUGGAAACUAUACGGAAAAAAAGGUUUAAAGUUUAAGGAAAAUCAUGUUAACAGGAAAUCAACUCAUUCCCACUAUGUCAGUGACAGUACAGGCAGCGUAGAUUUUAGUGUGUCAUCCAGCUCUGAUGAAAGUGAGCCUGGGGAGAUGAGUCUACAAGACAAACUUAUGCAAUGGUCAUCGACUUUUGGAAUCAAUCUUGUUGCAGUUACUGCUCUUCUGUCAAUAUUGACAGUAUACCACCCAGAGCUGCCUAGAGAUGCUAGGACACUCCUUGGCACUCAAAGGAGAAUAGCUGUGGAAGCAUUAGGUGGGGGUGAAUAUCACCAUUUUGGAUUGGCAAAGGGAAUUUUGUCCAUAUUGAAUUCAAUUCACCAGCCUAGUUGCCUUCAGACAAUUAAGUUGCAAUUUAACAUCGAUGGUUUACCCAUUUUUAAAAGUUGGACUUUUGGAAUCAAUCUUGUUGCAGUUAUAAAAAAUAUUAUUCCUAGCCUGCUCAAACGUUGUAGGGCGAAAGACAGACAUGUUCUCGUUAUUGGACCAUGAAAAGAUUGAACUGCAUGGCCAUUAGUUUAAAUGUAGUUACCAGGAGAUAUAAUUUGUGGCCACUUCUCAAAUGCUUCUCGGUCCUCAUCAUAAAGGUUUGGACUGUAUUUGUAGCUCUGGUCCUAAAGUUUACGUUGCACGCAUCCUUUGCUCGGUUUCAGCGGCACUCCAGAAACAGGUUCCCGGAAGCACAGCAGUCGUUUUCGGGGAGAAUACAUAUUUUUUUCCCCUACCAACUGUGUUAUCAUUGGCCAAAAAGCUAAAUAGUUUUAAUAUUAACCUUACCCUGUUGUAAGACAAAAAAGAGAAAAAACGCAAAACCGUCUAAUGUGCACGAUUACCUGAAGUCAUUUGUAGAUGACCUCACCCAGUUACUGAAGGAUGGACUGACCUACAGAGGUGAAACUCUGAAGGUGAUGGUGUGUUCUUUUAUCUGUGAUGCUUCAGCACAGGCUUACAUAAAACAGACAAAGUCCCAUAAUGGCUACUCUGGGUGCGACAAGUGCCAUCAAGUAGGUGUGUGGCAAAAUAAAAUGACAUACCCUGAGAUGAAUGCCAGGCUUAGGACUGAUGAAAACUUUGCAUUGAUGUCAGACAAUCAAAGGCUCUGCUUUAACCAGUUUUACACGUUAUGUUGGGUAGUGUAGUAGUCUCUCGUUAAAUCGUGAAUAUUUUUUUUUUCUCUCUCAAAACAAGGUUGAUGCCCCAUUAACUUUUGACAUCUAUAUGAGCAGGUAUAAUCGCUUGGUCACACCGUAGCUGGUUUUAAGUCUACCAUGAACGGUUACGAUUUUAUGGCUUAUUCUCCAGUUGUCAAUGGAGAAAUUGUAUUGGAUUCUUACUUCUGGACAAGGCUGUGGGCGGGACUGUCGAGCUCUAUUGUCCUGAUGGUAACACAGUUUUCAAUCGAUUACAUGCACCUGUGCUGUUUGGGGGUAACUAGAAAACUUAUUCUGUUCUGGAUGAAGGGGAAAAAUCUGGCCACUAGACAGCCAUCUAGAGUGAUCACAGCAAUAUCCGCAAAACUGACUGCUCUCCGUCCCCAUAUUCCCACUGAAUUUGCCCGAAAGCCACGAGAAACGCAUUCUCCCAAGAGAGAGAUUUGAAAACUUGUUGUUGUUCUCCGUGGUUGUGUUUUUAUUACUCAGCCCCAACCUCUCUGCACCCAUGAUUGAUUUUGCAAAUAGAUUACUGACAGCAUUUCUAAAAAACUUUGGUGACUUAUAUGUGACCCUGUAAAGCGGAACCAGUCGUUUCGGUAAAAUUUACUAAAUUAUAAAUUGUGCUCACGUGAACGGCCAUAAACUAAGCUUUCCGAUAUGUAUAUCGAGGGUAUUACACAAACUAUCGCUAAGAUAACUGCAUCCAAAGUUGACAUGGUUCUCCUGUCACGAUAUGCCAGAAGAGGAGAAAUCACCUUUUUAAGCGGCGCGUGCACAACGGGAAUGACAGCAAAUGUGUUGAAUCUUCGCCAGGUUUAACAGUCAAUAUGUAUGUUUUUCCGUGAAAUGCGUUCACAAUAUGAAACUGUUGACUGUAUACAGUCGAAUUAUGCGAAAAUGUGAAAUUCAACAUUUUAACCCGGAAGUUUGUUAUUGUUGAUUUUCUCAAAAUAACGUGCACAAAACGACUGAUUUCGCUUUGAAUGGUCACAUAUGGUGAAGGGGAAAUUGUUUUUACUAUGCAUCAGGUGAUACAACUAACUGAUGUAUACCGACAAUUUGGUGCCCUUGACCGUGUAUCUGCGUUUCCCUAUGAAAAUUAUCUUGGAAAAAAUGUUGAGAAAGCCUCAUCAGCCAUUACAACAGGUGGUCAAGAGACUGUCAGAGGUGCCUGAUGCCUUGACUCCACCUCCAAGUGCGCAACCCCUUUUGUUUGACUCACACCAGGAUGGUCCAUUGCCUCAGCAAUACAGCAAUGGCAAACAAUACAGAAAGGCAGUAACAAAAGACUUCUGUCUGUCAACAAAGACUGGGGACAACUGUAUAGCGAUAGGACAGGACAUUGCACUGGUCCAAAACAUUGUGAAAUCAUCUGGUUCAGUUUUUAUUGUGUACAGAACGUUUAGCGACAGAGAUUCACAUUCACUUAUCCCUGCCCAUCCGCUCACAUAGGCUGUUUUCAGGUCCACACACUAAAAGACAGGCUAGAAGUUGGGCACCUUGAGGAUGUUCAGAGAAAAUGUGUGCUUUUGCCAGACCAAGACUGUUUUGCUGCCAUCCCUCUUCUUCACCAAUCCUAAUUCCUAAUCAUCAACAACCCCCAAUUCCUAAUCCUGAAAAAAAUCCUUAAAAC